rnacentral:misc_RNA from 1 species
GUCCAUCUGAAAACAGAGGUGAAUUUGGAGCUCUCAAUUGGGCUGCACCCAUUUCAGGGGGAGGCAGCAAGGGGGUCGCCGGGGAGCUCGGCCGAGUCGAGAUUGCGACAGAGAAGUCCGUUCAUAUGUUUGUGCUGCCAAUUGGGAUCGGAGAAGGGCGGGGAGUGUUGCCGGAAUUGCCAGAGGUCAUAUGGGUGGCUGUAUGGGUUCCGGCCAAGUGCUUUGGGUUCUUCAUAGACACAUUUUUAGAAACAGCUUGUGGGAGAUGGGAGAGAAUAAUAUCAAAUCUGAAUCUCCCAACUUUCUUCAAUACCAAAAACUUUUAGGUAAAAUUAUAAAUUAUUGUAAUGUAGAUAUAGAUAUUGGUAGAUUGACAACAUUUU